CACUGUUUCGUGGGCUUUUGAAUCACUCUCGCGGUACUUCAAUGUCUGCGCAUGUCUGCAUGAAGUCAACCACUCAUGCUUGUAACAGGGGUAGCGUUUGUGCGCUCAGUGAUUUAGGGUGUUACAAAACAAGAUUAUUACAUUAAUAUUAUCAAUUAGUAUUGUAAUAAAGCUUUUUAAAUGUUUGUUAAUGAUUAAGUGUCAUUAACAAACUCUGAUUUAAAACAUCAAUAUAUAUGCUACGUAAAUUUUCCUUAAAUCAUCAAAACAUCCAAAUUCAAUGAAACAAAAACAACAACAAUGUAUUUAAGAUGAGACACAUUCAGCAUUUAUAAUUUUUUCUCUCUUUUUUGUUUGACUUUGUUUUCUAAAGUAGCCUGUUAACAGUAGACCAAAGGUAUGAUGAUCAAUUAUAAAUGCAAUAUGGUUGAAAGGUCAGUAAACAAACAACAAAAAGGUAAUUUCUUAAUAGAAUGUCUAUACAUUUUUUGCUUUUGUUACAUAUUUCAUACAUCAAAAUCAUUAAACGUUAAUAAUUAUGUAUUCCAACUUGUUGCAGCUUGACAAAAAUGUAGCUUGAAGGAGAAGGGACAGCUGAGUAACAAAGUCCUGGUACGCAGACGACGAUACUAUUACACUGACAAGAGUGUAAUGAUGAUGGAGACACAAGCCAGAGAAAGUGGGGACCAAACACCAGGCCAGAAUUCUGCAUGAGUCAGAUCCAGUGGGUGCAGAUCAUCAUACAUAUGGUUCAAGUGUGGAUCCACCUAAUAUUCAAGCUCCAGUGGGCAUCCUUUAUCCAUCCAGACCCUCAUACAGAUGGUUGGAGUUUUGAUUCACCUAAAGUACCAUGCAAGAGCACUCAUUUUCCCUCUUGAGACCAUGGUGUGAC